AUUCUUAUGGCAGAAUAUUGCACUAGAUUUAGAUUCUAAUCAUUCA
rnacentral:tRNA from 1 species